GCUGCCCCUCCAGGUGUUGCAGGCAUGGCUGCUGUGUGGUGCUUGUGUCAUGAGGAGGCAGAGAAGAACUGGCUGUGUCUACGCUCAGUGCCCAGUGUGUGGGCGCUUAGAAUGAUUAGCAGCCUAACAUUU
ensembl:snoRNA